AAAUGCUCAAGAGAGAGGUAGCCCUGCAAGCUACUCUCAGCUACCGCCUGAAGGCCCCAGUAUGGUUCACGUUGGCACUGGUGAUCAAAACUUGAUGGAAGA